rnacentral:tRNA from 1 species
UCCCUGGUAUUCCAGUGGCUAAGACUCUGUGCUCCCAAUGCAGGGGGCCCAGGUUCAAUCCCUGGCUGGAGAA